CAACCUAAGACCGCAGCCUACACAUGCAGUCGAGCGGAAACGACACUAACAAUCCUUCGGGUGCGUUAAUGGGCGUCGAGCGGCGGACGGGUGAGUAAUGCCUAGGAAAUUGCCUUGAUGUGGGGGAUAACCAUUGGAAACGAUGGCUAAUACCGCAUAAUGCCUACGGGCCAAAGAGGGGGACCUUCGGGCCUCUCGCGUCAAGAUAUGCCUAGGUGGGAUUAGCUAGUUGGUGAGGUAAUGGCUCACCAAGGCGACGAUCCCUAGCUGGUCUGAGAGGAUGAUCAGCCACACUGGAACUGAGACACGGUCCAGACUCCUACGGGAGGCAGCAGUGGGGAAUAUUGCACAAUGGGCGAAAGCCUGAUGCAGCCAUGCCGCGUGUAUGAAGAAGGCCUUCGGGUUGUAAAGUACUUUCAGUUGUGAGGAAGGGGGUAGCGUUAAUAGCGCUAUCUCUUGACGUUAGCAACAGAAGAAGCACCGGCUAACUCCGUGCCAGCAGCCGCGGUAAUACGGAGGGUGCGAGCGUUAAUCGGAAUUACUGGGCGUAAAGCGCAUGCAGGUGGUUCAUUAAGUCAGAUGUGAAAGCCCGGGGCUCAACCUCGGAACUGCAUUUGAAACUGGUGAACUAGAGUACUGUAGAGGGGGGUAGAAUUUCAGGUGUAGCGGUGAAAUGCGUAGAGAUCUGAAGGAAUACCAGUGGCGAAGGCGGCCCCCUGGACAGAUACUGACACUCAGAUGCGAAAGCGUGGGGAGCAAACAGGAUUAGAUACCCUGGUAGUCCACGCCGUAAACGAUGUCUACUUGGAGGUUGUGGCCUUGAGCCGUGGCUUUCGGAGCUAACGCGUUAAGUAGACCGCCUGGGGAGUACGGUCGCAAGAUUAAAACUCAAAUGAAUUGACGGGGCCCGCACAAGCGGUGGAGCAUGUGGUUUAAUUCGAUGCAACGCGAAGAACCUUACCUACUUCUUGACAUCCAGAAGAAGCCAGCGGAGACGCAGUGUGCCUUCGGGAGCUCUGAGACAGUGCUGCAUGGCUGUCGUCAGCUCGUGUGUGAAAUGUGGGUUAAGUCCCGCAACGAGCGCACCCUUAUCCUUGUUUGGCAGCAGUAAAUGUCAGGAACUCCCAAGGAGGACUGGCUG
rnacentral:rRNA from 1 species